rnacentral:rRNA from 1 species
UACGGAGGGUGCGAGCGUUGUCCGGAAUCAUUGGGCGUAAAGGGCGCGUAGGUGGCGCGGUCAGUUCGUGGUGAAAGCGCGGGGCUCAACCCCGCGUCGGCCAUGAAUACUGCUGGGCUGGAGCACUGUAGAGGCAGGCGGAAUUCCGGGUGUAGCGGUGGAAUGCGUAGAGAUCCGGAAGAACACCAGUGGCGAAGGCGGUCUGCUGGGCCGUGGGACAGCAAUGUCCUUAUAGCUGACACUGAGGCGCGACAGCGUGGGGAGCAAACAGG